rnacentral:rRNA from 1 species
UACGAAGGGUGCAAGCGUUAGUCGGAAUUACUGGGCGUAAAGCGUGCGUAGGCGGUUGGUUAAGUCGGAUGUGAAAGCCCUGGGCUCAACCCAGGAACUGCGUCCGAUACUGGUUGGCUUGAAUCCGGGAGAGGGAUGUGGAAUUCCAGGUGUAGCGGUGAAAUGCGUAGAUAUCUGGAGGAACACCGGUGGCGAAGGCGACAUCCUGGACCGGUAUUGACGCUGAGGCGCGAAAGCCAGGGGAGCAAACGGG